GAUUAUAUGGGGGAGGAAAGAACAAGAAAAGGAGCCCUGAGGGGGCCCCAAGUGGGCAAGAGGAGAAAGCUGAGGCUUGAAAAGAUUCCAUGAUCAGCCCAAAGUCAGAGAACUGGUGAGUGGCUGAACUGUGAUCCAAUGCGAGGUUGGUCCGUGAGAGUCUGAGGCACUUUCACUGCCCCCCAAACCACCAAACUUCAUUGAUCUCCAGGAAGGAGAAAGAAUGGAAAGCAAACAUGAGGGUGAAUGGAAAGGACUGAAAAAGCAAUGGACAAUGGAGGCAAAGAGGGUGACAACCAACCAGCCAGUGUGGAAGAAAAGAGAGAGGAAGAUGCAAAGGGAAGUUCAUGAGCCUCUUUGUAGUUCAUAGGUGACACGCCAUCUGUACCACAGAAUGGUUUAAAAAAACAGGCCCCAUCAAUCUCAACCUAUGAACACAGAAAAAUCCUAAAUAAAAUACUAGAAAUAAAAA